rnacentral:rRNA from 1 species
AUUGAACGCUGGCGGCAGGCCUAACACAUGCAAGUCGAGCGGAUGAAGGGAGCUUGCUCCUGGAUUCAGCGGCGGACGGGUGAGUAAUGCCUAGGAAUCUGCCUGGUAGUGGGGGAUAACGUCCGGAAACGGGCGCUAAUACCGCAUACGUCCUGAGGGAGAAAGUGGGGGAUCUUCGGACCUCACGCUAUCAGAUGAGCCUAGGUCGGAUUAGCUAGUUGGUGGGGUAAAGGCCUACCAAGGCGACGAUCCGUAACUGGUCUGAGAGGAUGAUCAGUCACACUGGAACUGAGACACGGUCCAGACUCCUACGGGACGCAGCAGUGGGGAAUAUUGGACAAUAGGCGAAAGCCUGAUCCAGCCAUGCCGCGUGUGUGAAGAAGGUCUUCGGAUUGUAAAGCACUUUAAGUUGGGAGGAAGGGCAGUAAGUUAAUACCUUGCUGUUUUGACGUUACCAACAGAAUAAGCACCGGCUAACUUCGUG